CGAACGGGUGCGUAACGCGUAUGCAACCUACCCUAUACAGGAGGAUAGCCCGGAGAAAUCUGGAUUAAUACCCCAUAGUAUCAUUGAGCUGCAUGGUUUAAUGAUUAAAGAUUCAUCGGUAUAGGAUGGGCAUGCGUCUGAUUAGCUAGUUGGCGGUGUAACGGACCACCAAGGCUACGAUCAGUAGGGGUUCUGAGAGGAAGGUCCCCCACACUGGCACUGAGAUACGGGCCAGACUCCUACGGGAGGCAGCAGUAGGGAAUAUUGGGCAAUGGACGAGAGUCUGACCCAGCCAUGCCGCGUGCAGGAAGACGGCGUUCUGCGUUGUAAACUGCUUUUAUCUGGGAAGAAAAUGCCCUUGCGAGGGAAAUUGCCGGUACCAGAUGAAUAAGCACCGGCUAACUCCGUGCCAGCAGCCGCGGUAAUACGGAGGGUGCAAGCGUUGUCCGGAUUUAUUGGGUUUAAAGGGUGCGUAGGCGGCUAUUUAAGUCAGUGGUGAAAGACUCCGGCUCAACCGGAGCAGUGCCAUUGAUACUGGAUAGCUUGAGUAUUGGAGGGGUACAUGGAAUUGAUGGUGUAGCGGUGAAAUGCAUAGAUACCAUCAGGAACACCGAUAGCGAAGGCAUUGUACUGGCCAAUAACUGACGCUGAUGCACGAAAGCAUGGGUAGCGAACAGGAUUAGAUACCCUGGUAGUCCAUGCCGUAAACGAUGAUUACUCGCUGUUAUGGCUUUAUGUUGUAGCGGCCAAGCGAAAGCGUUAAGUAAUCCACCUGGGGAGUACGCUCGCAAGAGUGAAACUCAUAGGAAUUGACGGGGGUCCG
rnacentral:rRNA from 1 species